CAUGAGUAAUAAAGGAAUGUGACAUAAAUGAUUUCAUUCAGAGCAGAGCAUUAAUGCAAGCACUGGCAAAGCUGCUGCAACAGCAGCCAGAGCCUUUAAUUGCAACUGCUUAUAAUUGGGGUUAGAAAUAGGUGUUUAUGUCUGGUUUUGCCAUGAUCGUUUGGCCACCCCAACUUUUCAUCCCCGAUAGGACUCAGUGCUUCCAGCAGCCCCAGAUUUUCCCUCCAUGGUGUCAACGGAAGGAGGCAGGAGGCAAGAGCAUCGUGUUGCUAUGGCAACACAUCCCACUUCCCUGGGGAUCAUGUUGCCUCGGCGACACCGGGCGGGCAAUGCCGCUGGAUCAAAUGGACUCGGAGCAGCUGCCCCCUGGAAGGGAGGAGAGCUCCGGCCUCCGGGAGCCCAGAGGUUCAUGGGCUGCUGCAGGCAUUACAGCAACCAGCCCCAACCCACGGGACAGCAGUGACAGGAUCUCAAGAGCCCCCAGACCCUUUGUCACAAGAGAGGUUUUGGAUAUCUGCACCAAACCUUCCAUGGACUUCACUGGAGCCCUCUGUGCAGCUGCCAGUAAGAAGAGGGGGUUCAAAGCUCAUGCAUGGACACCAGUUAUGGACACCAGUUAUCCACAGCGCUUGGAGAGCUAUUUGAGAAGCAGGAAGAUAAAGGGCAGACAAAUUUGCACAAGACAGGUAAAUUCCUUGUAAUUUGUCUGUCCCACAGGAAUCUCUCCUCCCUUCACACUGUUGCAAUUAAGAAACCUCUUGCUUACUCUAAUGAGUCCUUGAAUAAACACCAUGUCUGCAACACAA